GCGGGAGUGGCGAAAUGGCAGACGCGCUUGACUUAGGAUCAUGUGUCCAAAAGACGUGUGGGUUCGACUCCCACCUCCCGCACCA
rnacentral:tRNA from 2 species